UACGUAGGGUGCAAGCGUUAAUCGGAAUUACUGGGCGUAAAGCGUGCGCAGGCGGUUGUGCAAGACAGAUGUGAAAUCCCCGGGCUUAACCUGGGAAUUGCAUUUGUGACUGCACGGCUAGAGUGUGUCAGAGGGGGUAGAAUUCCACGUGUAGCAGUGAAAUGCGUAGAUAUGUGGAGGAAUACCGAUGGCGAAGGCAGCCCCCUGGGAUAACACUGACGCUCCAUGGCACGAAAGCGUGGGGAGCAAACAGG
rnacentral:rRNA from 1 species